AGUAUAGUGUCCUUUGCGAAAUGUCGACUGCUUCGAUAAACGGGUGGUGCCUCACCUCUAUCUCUCCUUCUCAGUCUUCUCUAAGGAGAGCUACAUUACGUCCUUGUGUUUUUGCUAGGCUGACCUCUUCUCCUGUUUCUGGUAAUACCCCUACCCUUAUCAGAAACGAGCCCGUUUUUGCUGCUCCUGCACCCAUUAUCAAUCCUAAUUGGAGAAAAGAAAUGGGAAAGGACUCUUAUGAGGAGGCAAUUGAAGCCCUAAAGAAACUCCUCAGUGAGAAAGGAGAGUUGAAAGCCACGGCGGCCGCCAGAGUAGAGCAGAUAACAGCUGAGUUACAGACAGCUUCAUCUGACAGCAAACCCUUCGACGCAGUUGAGAGGAUGAAAGAAGGCUUCAUUUACUUCAAGAAAGAAAAAUAUGACAAAAAUCCAGGAUUGUACACUGAGCUUUCCAAAGGCCAAAGCCCCAAAUUUAUGGUGUUUGCAUGCUCAGACUCCAGGGUUUGCCCAUCACACGUUCUCGAUUUUCAGCCAGGAGAGGCUUUUGUGGUCCGUAAUGUUGCAAAUAUGGUCCCGCCAUUUGAUCAGCUUAAGCACACAGGAGUGGGUGCUGCAGUUGAAUAUGCUGUUUUGCAUCUCAAGGUGGAAAACAUUGUUGUGAUUGGUCACAGUGCUUGUGGUGGAAUUAAGGGGCUGAUGUCUUUCCCAUUUGAUGGGAACAAAUCUACUGAUUUCAUAGAAGAUUGGGUCAGUAUCGGUUUACCUGCCAAGGCCAAGGUGUUAGCUGAACAUGGUAAUGCAACCUUCCCAGAACAAUGCACACAUUGCGAAAAGGAAGCUGUCAAUGUAUCACUUGGAAACUUGCUGACUUACCCAUUUGUGAGACAUGGAUUGGUGAAGAAAACACUGGCAUUGAAGGGAGGCUACUACGACUUCGUUUCAGGAAGUUUUGAGUUAUGGGGGCUUGAGUUUGGCCUUUCUCCUCCACUCUCUGUAUGAUCAUCAUCAUCAUCAUUGUCAAUCCAUUAACCAUUUCUGAUGAAUUAUUCCCCCAAGAAAUGUUCAAUAUGUAAAAGAUGUGGCCACCAUACUACAUUGGAAGCUCUAGAGGGUCAUGAAUAUUUCUGCUAAGAAGAGGAGACUCUUUCCCUUUUGUUUCUUCAAUUGGGUUAUCUUGAUUUAAUAACAUCAACAACUACUUUCCUUAA